CAGGCUUCUAGGGAGGAAAGCCUAAGACAGGCAGGCAGACAGUCAAGAGUGGAGGGCUGAGAGCCAGAGAGCUGAGACCAGCAGAAAUCUGAGAGCCUAAAGGUUAGAAGCUGAGAGCCAAGAGGGAGAGAGCUGGUGGGUCAGUGAAUUGGUGCCUGAGGAUGCUGCCUAGAGUGCUUUUCUCCUGGGAGCUAACCAGAAACUCAUAAUUUCCCAGAACUUCCAGAACAGUGGGAAACUAGCCAGCUUUUAUGAGAAUGUUACAGCUUGGAAGACUAAAGAACCCUGACUGUCUUGAAGCAAAUGUACAAGCUGUACUGAGUACUCCAGUACUGCUGUAACUAGGAUCUGGAUCGUCAAGUUUCAGUCUAUUGGUUACUGGUUUGCUGCACAAAAAGACUGUAGCUGUGUUGCACCCAAUCUCAUUCACCAGAUAGGAUGGAGAGGGCUCUGUUCAAAAAUCAUCAUGGGCCCUUGUGCUUUAUUUUACUGCCUAAUUAUCAA